GUUGGUGAGGUAAUGGCUCACCAAGGCGACGAUGGGUAGCUGGUCUGAGAGGAUGUCCAGCCACACUGGGACUGAGACAUGGUCCAGACUCCUACGGGAGUUAGCAUCGGGGGAUAUUGCGCAAUGGGCGAAAGCCCGACGCAGUGACGCCGCGUGCAGGAUGAAGGCCCUAGGGUCGUAAACUGCUGUCGGGUGGGAUGAACGCCGGGGGUGACGCCUCGGUUUGACAGUACCACCCAAGAAAGCCCCAGCUAACUACGUGCCAGCAGCUGCGGUAAUACGUAGGGGGCAAGCGUUGUCCGGAAUUACUGGGCGUAAAGGGCGUCUAGGCGGCUUAGUAAGCGGAAUGUGAAAGCCCAGGGCUCAACCCUGGAACGCCGUUCCGAACUACUAGGCUUGAGUUCGGGAGAGGGCAGUGGAAUUCCCGGUGUAGCGGUGAAAUGUUUAGACAUCGGGAGGAACACCAGUGGCGAAGGCGGCUGCCUGGACCGAUACUGACGCUGAAGCGCGAAAGCCAGGGGAGCGAACGGGAUUAGAUACCCCGGUAGUCCUGGCUGUAAACGAUGAACACUAGGUGUUGGGGGCAUCAACCCUUCCAGUGCCGAAGCAAACGCAUUAAGUGUUCCGCCUGGGGAGUACGGCCGCAAGGUUAAAACUCAAAGGAAUUGACGGGGCCCCGCACAAGCGGUGGAGCAUGUUGCUUAAUUCGACGCAACGCGAAGAACCUUACCAGGCCUUGACAUCCAGGGAAUCCUCCCGAAACGGAGGAGUGCCCUUCGGGGAACCCUGAGACAGGUGGUGCAUGGCUGUCGUCAGCUCGUGUCGUGAGAUGUUGGGUUAAGUCCCGCAACGAGCGCAACCCUCAUCGACUGUUGCCAGCGGGUAAUGCCGGGGACUCUGUCGAAACUGCCCGAGCAAUCGGGAGGAAGGUGAGGAUGACGUCAAGUCAGCAUGCCCCUUAUGGCCUGGGCUGCAAACAUGCUACAAUGGACGGUACAAAGGGCAGCGAGACCGCGAGGUGGAGCAAAUCCCACAAAGCCGUCCUCAGUUCGGAUUGAAGUCUGCAACUCGACUUCAUGAAGUUGGAAUCGCUAGUAACCGUAGAUCAGCAACGCUGCGGUGAUACGUUCCCGGGGCUUGUACACACCGCCACGUCACAUCAUGGAGCCGGCUACACCCGAAGUCCGUGCGCU
rnacentral:rRNA from 1 species